ensembl:rRNA 5S_rRNA 5S ribosomal RNA
GUCUGCAGUCAUGCUGUAAUUUUUGCCCGAAGACCUUAUCAGAUCUCAUAAAUUAAACAGAGAUGGGCCUGGACAGUACUUGAAUGGGAGCACUCCAAGGAAAUACAGAGGAGCUGCAGGAC